UGACCUCGGAUCUGGUAG
rnacentral:rRNA from 1 species